rnacentral:lncRNA from 1 species
UCCGUUCGUUCGUCCGUCUGUGCGUCCUUUCGCUUUAGGUUAAAGUUUUUGGUCAAGGUAGUUUUUGAAGAAGUUGAAGUCCAAUCAACUUGAAACUUAAUACACAUGUUCCCCAUGAUAUGAUCUUUCUAAUUUUAAUGCCAAAUUAUAGUUUUGACCCCAAUUUCAUGGUCCACUGAACAUAGAAAAUAAUAGUGUGAAGUUCAGGUUAAAGUUUUUGGUCAAGGUAGUUUUUGAUGAAGUUAAAGUUACAUCAACUUGAAACUUAGUACACAUGUUCCCUAUGAUAUGAUCA